AGAGCGAACGCUGGCGGCGUGCUUAACACAUGCAAGUCGAGUGCGCGUCCGUAGCAAUACGGAUGGCGCACGGCGCACGGGUGCGUAACACGUGGGCAAUCUGCCCUCGGAUGGGGGAUAACUCGCCGAAAGGCGAGCUAAUACCGCAUGACAUUCCCGGGACUCCGGUCCUGGGACUCAAAGGCCGCAAGGCCGUCUGAGGAGGAGCCCGCGCCCGAUUAGCUAGUUGGUGAGGUAACGGCUCACCAAGGCUUUGAUCGGUA
rnacentral:rRNA from 1 species